rnacentral:piRNA from 1 species
UAGGGUUUCCAAGGAUCUGUACUUUCCCCC